GACAGAGGGUGCAAACGUUGUUCGGAUUUACUGGGCGUAAAGCGCGUGUAGGCGGCUUUGCAAGUCGGAUGUGAAAUCCCACGGCUCAACCGUGGAAGUGCAUCCGAAACUGCAUCACUGGAGUCUCGGAGAGGAAGGUGGAAUGCUUGGUGUAGAGGUGAAAUUCGUAGAUAUCAAGCAGAACACCUGCGGCGAAGGCGGCCUUCUGGACGAUGACUGACGCUGAGACGCGAAAGCGUGGGGAGCAAACAGG
rnacentral:rRNA from 1 species